rnacentral:rRNA from 1 species
AACGAACGCUGGCGGCAGGCUUAACACAUGCAAGUCGAGCGCCCCGCAAGGGGAGCGGCAGACGGGUGAGUAACGCGUGGGAAUCUACCCAUCUCUACGGAAUAACGCAUGGAAACGUGUGCUAAUACCGUAUACGUCCUUCGGGAGGAAGAUUUAUCGGAGAUGGAUGAGCCCGCGUUGGAUUAGCUAGUUGGUGGGGUAAAGGCCUACCAAGGCGACGAUACAUAGCUGGUCUGAGAGGAUGAUCAGCCACACUGGGACUGAGACACGGCCCAGACUCCUACGGGAGGCAGCAGUGGGGAAUAUUGGACAAUGGGCGCAAGCCUGAUCCAGCCAUGCCGCGUGAGUGAUGAAGGCCCUAGGGUUGUAAAGCUCUUUCACCGGUGGAGAUAAUGACGGUAACCGGAGAAGAAGCCCCGGCUAACUUCGUGCCAGCCGCCGCAGUAACAC